rnacentral:lncRNA from 12 species
AUGGAGGGAUCUGCUCUUUGGGAGAUGGUGAACGCAUCACUCCCUCCCCCAGAGGAGGGCCAGGUGAAUAAUCUUUUGUUUCUUUUUUCCCCACCACUGACCUCACGGUCAACGGUACCCAAAUACUCAACAAAACAGCUAUUUCCUCUAUCUCUGGGUCCCCAGAGGGGACGGGGGGUUAUGGACGAUCCAGUGUCGUAUCACACUCACCCUCUUCUCAGCAGUGGGUGGAUCGGGAGGAUUAUCCAACGGACUACCCAUGCACCCUCUGCUCGAAUGCAGGUAAGAGUUACACACACUCAGACCCCGCCUCGGACCGUCAACGAGAUGCCUGGGCCGGGUCCCAGAAUUCUUCCUCACUGCCUCACUGCGGGUAUGCCUGUAGUUCUGUUGGUGCCACUUGCGUGGCAUCUGGGAGCCUGGCUAGCACUACCCAGCCUGUCUCGAUGGCUUCUUCAGACUGUCAGACUUGGCUAUGUGAUUCAGUUCACCCGGCUCCCUCCCAAGUUCAGGGGAGUCCACUUUACUUCAGUGAAAGCAGCAGACGCCCCUGUCUUGCGUGCAGAGAUCACAGUCCUCCUGGCGAAGGAUGCAAUAGAGCCAGUUCCUCCUAUGAGGACAGGGUUUUACAGCCCCUACUUCAUUGUACCCAAGAAAGGCGGUGGGUUAGGACCCAUCUUGGAGCUGCACGUCUUGAACUGGGCCCUUCACAGGCUCCCGUUCAAGAUGCUCAUGCAGAAGUGCAUCUUCAGGUGCAUCCGUUCCCAAGAUUGGUUCACAGCGAUCGACCUGAAGGAUGCGUACUUCCAUGUGUCAAUCUUUCCACGCUACAGGCCAUUCCUGUGGUUUGCGUUCACAGGACGGGCAUUUCAGUACAUGGUCCUGCCCUUCGGGCUGCCCCUGUCAUCCCGUGUCUUCAUGAAAGUUGUGGACAUCAACUGCCUUGAGUUGCUGGCAGUGCACCUUGCCUUGAUCUGUCUCAAAGGGCGCUUAUGGGGCAGGCAUGUACUAGUCCACACGGACAACACUGCAACCAUUGCGUACAUCAACCAAAAAGGUGGUCUGCGCUCCCGUUGCAUGUCACAACUCGCCAACUUUGGAGACUCCUCCUUUGGAGUCAGAAGCAUCUGA